rnacentral:lncRNA from 1 species
ACACAGGCAAACUCACACACACGAGCAUGCACAGGCAGAGAACACAAAUGUACACUCCCAGGUGUCAUAAAGAACAGCCCAGCUUCGGCUUGGGAACGUCACAUCAGACAAUAGGAACGGCUGCACCGCGCGUUUCCUCGGCUGCCAGCUUCCCAGCCACAGAGGAUGCCUCACCUGCUAUGUCAGCUCCCCUCUGCCCCACCUCACAAGAAGCUCAGAAGCUGAGGAGUCACAGAGAGACCUCCCUACUGUGUCAGAGGUACAGCUUGAGCAAAGACACAGAAGCAGAAGGCAGGUUUUUGGUUCCAUGAACUCUACAUCUGGCUACAUACAAAUGGUGAAGAGGAACAGGGAGAAACAUGGUUGAAAAGAACAGGCUUGGACUUCAGGAAGCAGUAAAAUGAGCGAAUGCCAUUUAUGGUU